UGUGGUGGCGAUAGCGAGAAGGAUACACCUGUAACCAUGCCGAACACAGAAGUUAAGCUUCUUAGCGCCGAUUGUAGUGAGGGGUUGCCCCUUGUGAGAGGGAGUAGGACGUCGCCACGC
rnacentral:rRNA from 1 species